rnacentral:rRNA from 1 species
AUUGAACGCUGGCGGCAGGCCUAACACAUGCAAGUCGAGCGGAUGAGAGGGGCUUGCUCCUCGAUUCAGCGGCGGACGGGUGAGUAAUGCCUAGGAAUCUGCCUAGUAGUGGGGGACAACGUUUCGAAAGGAACGCUAAUACCGCAUACGUCCUACGGGAGAAAGUGGGGGGUCUUCGGACCUCACGCUAUUAGAUGAGCGUAGGUCGGAUUAGCUAGUUGGUAGGGUAACGGCCUACCAAGGCGACGAUCCGUAACUGGUCUGAGAGGAUGAUCAGUCACACUGGAACUGAGACACGGUCCAGACUCCUACGGGAGGCAGCAGUGGGGAAUAUUGGACAAUGGGCGAAAGCCUGAUCCAGCCAUGCCGCGUGUGUGAAGAAGGCCCUCGGGUCGUAAAGCACUUUAAGUUGGGAGGAAGGGCUUACAGCGAAUACCUGUGAGUUUUGACGUUACCGACAGAAUAAGCACCGGCUAACUUCGUGCCAGCAGCCGACGUAA